CUCCCUUGACGUUAGCGGCGGACGGGUGAGUAACACGUGGGUAACCUACCUAUAAGACUGGGAUAACUUCGGGAAACCGGAGCUAAUACCGGAUAAUAUUUCGAACCGCAUGGUUCGAUAGUGAAAGGUGGUUUUGCUAUCACUUAUAGAUGGACCCGCGCCGUAUUAGCUAGUUGGUAAGGUAACGGCUUACCAAGGCGACGAUACGUAGCCGACCUGAGAGGGUGAUCGGCCACACUGGAACUGAGACACGGUCCAGACUCCUACGGGAGGCAGCAGCC
rnacentral:rRNA from 1 species